rnacentral:rRNA from 1 species
UGGGGAAUAUUGGACAAUGGGGGCAACCCUGAUCCAGCAAUGCCGCGUGCGUGAAGAAGGCCUUAGGGUUGUAAAGCGCUUUCGCCCGCGACGAUGAUGACGGUAGCGGGAGAAGAAGCCCCGGCUAACUCCGUGCCAGCAGCCGCGGUAAUACGGAGGGGGCGAGCGUUGUUCGGAAUUACUGGGCGUAAAGGGCGCGUAGGCGGCCUUGUCAGUCAGGCGUGAAAGCCCCGGGCUCAACCUGGGAUGUGCGCUUGAUACUGCAAGGCUUGAGACCGGAAGAGGAUGGCGGAAUACCCAGUGUAGAGGUGAAAUUCGUAGAUAUUGGGUGGAACACCAGUGGCGAAGGCGGCCAUCUGGUCCGGAUCUGACGCUGAGGCGCGAAAGCGUGGGGAGCAAACAGGAUUAGAUACCCUGGUAGUCCACGCCGUAAACGAUGUGCGCUAGACGUCGGGAGUUAGGCUCUCGGUGUCGCAGCUAACGCAUUAAGCGCACCGCCUGGGGAGUACGGCCGCAAGGUUA